rnacentral:rRNA from 1 species
GGGGAAACCCAGUAUCCAAUGGAUACUAUCAUUAACUGAAUCCAUAGGUUAAUGAGGCGAACCGGGAGAACUGAAACAUCUCAGUACCCCGAGGAAAAGAAAUCAACCGAGAUUCCCCUAGUAGCGGCGAGCGAACGGGGAGCAGCCCAGAGUCUUAAUCAAUAGCAGUGUCAGGAGAACGGUCUGGAAAGUCCGGCAGUAAAGGGUGAUAGCCCCGUAUCUGAAGAUGCUGUUAUUGUGAACUCGACGAGUAGGGCGGGACACGUGUUAUCCUGUCUGAAUAUGGGGGGACCAUCCUCCAAGGCUAAAUACUCCUGAUUGACCGAUAGUGAACCAGUACCGUGAGGGAAAGGCGAAAAGAACCCCGGCGAGGGGAGUGAAAAAGAACCUGAAACCGUG